rfam:Hordeum vulgare subsp. vulgare, WGS project CAJW01000000 data, contig: morex_contig_1820760
GCCGCCAUGGUAAAAUUGGUAGACAUGCUGCUCUUAGGAAGCAGUGUUGAAGCAUCUCGGUUCGAAUCCGAGUGGCAACA